ACUACAUCUACAUCGAAACUCACUUCUUGUAGUGCAAAAUUCCUCCUCCCCUCUCUCUCUAUCCUCCUCCUCCGUCGAAACUCCAUCGACUCCUCCGGCAAGUCAUCCGGCUUCUGCUGCGCGAGAUUCUUCUGUCGACUCCUCCGAUGAGUCCUCGUGCGAAACUCCUUCGACGGCCCAAAACUACUUCUCCUUCAUACACGAACGACUCCUUCGAGGAUUGCUCCUCGUUCCGCGACGAUUGCAUCUGAUUCUCGUUCGUCUGAUUCUAGUUGGUUUUCGGUGAUUGCUACUGGUUCUCAUUCGACACCACUAUAGAUGCAUUUCAAUUGGAAUCAGUAGAUUCAAAAACGCAACGAUCAAAAUCUUCAAAUCCCUAAAUCUGGAAAAUUUUGGAAUAUACUAACGAUGAGUUUUUUCGGAUUUGGUUUGAGUCAAAACGCUGCUCAUCAUCUUCGAUUCAAGAACAAUGAACUGACAACCGAGAUUCUACCAAUAUCCAACACUAUCAAGUAAUGGGUUCUUGUGUGGCUCCUUGUAUUGGCUGCUCGGCGAAGGAGAGUUUGCACCGUUGCUCAUGACUGAGUCCAUAGCGAAACUUCCUCCAAAUUCAUUACCGUAAUCUUGAUGAUUGAAGGAGAAAUCAAAAGGGUUUUGACGAUUUUGACUGUAGAUGUUUGUCUCUUCGUGGAGCUUUGUGUCUGUUGUCUUCAAUUUUGAUCAUGUACUUGAUGUUUGUGGGUUUGUUUUUUAUUAUGCAGGAGUGGAGGGUUUGUAGGCUCACUGGAGAAGCCCUUCAAGCUUAUAGCAAGACUCAGCUCCAUCCUGACCCUGCCAUUGCCGACCGAAGCCAAGCUCUGCUUCUUUCGUGUCCGUCGCCUGAGCCGUCCCCUCCACCGUCGACAUUCGCUUCUGAGGUUUGCGUUGCCUGAGCCGUCACUCUCUGCAUCUUCCUCAAGCUCGAAUCGAAUCCUCCCUGUCCGUCGCCUGAGCUGUCACUCUCUGCAUCUCUCGCCGCCGGUCACCUCGUUCUCUGAAUCUCUUGUCACCGUCUCGUCUCUCUCUACAUCUCUCGUCUCAUCGCCGGUCUCCUCUCCCUCUGCAUCUCUUCGCCGGCUCUCUGUGAGACUGUAAUAGUUUCCGUGUUCUCCUCGCUCUCUACUUAAGAUGUUCCUUCAGGUCUCCAUCCAACCAGGUAUUCACUCGGAAAAACUCCAGAAACUUUGUGAAUUCUCUGUUCAUUUAUGUUCCGUAUUUUGCAGAUCAAAAUUUUUGUUUUUUUCUCUGAUGUCAAGAGCAAAGGAAUCAGCUUCUCCUGACUUUGUUCAUUCAUCUGUGUAUUUUCUGAUAGUAUCAAGUUAGAAAAAGGUUUUUCGAGCUCCUCCUGAUUUUGUGCUCUCAUUUGUAUAUUUUCUGACGUAGAGUUUCUCCUGUAUUUUUUGACAGUUUCUCGGACCUGUGAUUUGUUACAAACGUAGUGUUGAUCGAGAAGUUUAUCGUUGUUGUAUUUUUGGUUCGUGUCGAUCUACGGCUUUCUUGAAUGGUUUCCGGAUUUUUCGUCCGAUGAUUGUGUGCUUUUAGUUGGGAAUGGGGGAUCUUCUCUCGUUUUGGUGGGGAAAGAAUGAAGGGGGAAACUUUUAGUGUUCAAGAUGUUUUGUGCGUUGUGAUUUUCUUUGGUUUUUUAUCAACAUUCGUUCGGUUGAAAAGUGUAGCGUUUGGGUUUGCAAACAUUUGCAUUCAUUUA